rnacentral:lncRNA from 1 species
AUGUGCCUUGUUCUAGACCAGGGACUCCAUGCCUCCUCUGCCAUCAACCCUGCAGCAUAUCGGGCCCAUGGCGACAUGGAGCGGGCUGCCCGUCCUGAAGGCCAGGCUCAGGGCUUGGGGCUCAGGCAGAGGCACAGCACCUUCGAGCUGAGAGCACCAACGCGGGGCGGGGAAGGCGCUGGGCGCCACCUAAGGGACAGGUCUGGAGCACCAUCUUCAGAACUCAACUAUAUUGGGGGACAGGGGUCUCAGAGGUUGUUGGGGGCCGGGGGAGGCAGCACCCCCACCAGGCACAAGCAGGGGUCUUCCAGGCCCUCCCAUACAGCACUCGCCCACCUAGCAACCACAGAAAGCUUUCCUCCUCGGCUCCCUCUGGAGGCCACGCGGCAGGAAAACGUGGUAGGGACAUGGUGUGUCCAUCCUGCCCUUGGGAACCGGAACGCAGGGCUGACACCUGGAGGGUGGAUCUGUGGCACCCUGGGGAAGGGGCUCCCAGAUGCCACCUCACAGGGGCAAGCACUUGAGAAGGUGAGCUCAGGGAGUGCCACACAGCCCGGGGUCAGGUGUGGGCAGCUCAGACUCCCAGAUCCCAUCCUCCAGGGAGGGCACAGAGCCACCACUCCCCAGACAAUCCAGGCUGACUGCAGGGCUCCCGAAGCACCAGAGUGGCCCUGCCUGCCUGCCACACCCCAGCCUCAGCGCCUCUCCUUCCACACCCAGUCCCAGGCACCCCCCAGGCUGCAGAGUGGGGGGCCGACAUCACCCCAGGGCCUAAGGCCAGAAAGGCCAGGCUUCAGCAGUGCACCCCGGCCCCAGCACACCCACAGCAGCUGGGAGAGCCACCACAGGCUUCACGGGACGGGUGCCAGGCGUGACCCUGAAAGGAAGGGGAUGUGGGGCAGGCAGGGGCGCCGGCAGCUCUGUCUGGGCUGCUGGGAGCUGCCACUGCGGGGUCUGGGGUGGGGGCCGACCCUGGGGCCACUUUGUGCACUGUUUGAAUAA